rnacentral:lncRNA from 1 species
UCGAUAGUUGUAAAAACUAAAACUCAUUUUUAUCCUUGCAUCAUGUCAUAUAUCUAAGUGAGAAGAAAAUCUCUUCGCUGGUAGAUAUAAAAAUUCGGUAAAACUAGUUUGUCUUCUCUUUAUAUUAGAUAAAAUUGUUUUUUUAAAGCAAAAAAAUGGUAACUAUGUCCCUUUAUACUAAUCUAUAUUACUUUAUGUCCCAUUAGACUAAUAUUUUUCAAAAUGGCAGUAAUGCCCUUAAAAUUGUAAAUUUUUAUUCCUUUUUCGUUUUUUUUUGUUUUUUUGUUCCUUUUUCGUUUUUUUAUGUUUUUUUUUUUAAAUCGAUUUUUUUUUUCAAAAUAUAAAAGUUAAUAUUCCCAAAUAUUUUGUUUCCAUAUUUUUAGGAACUGAUUUCUUAUCCGUAGAAUACAACUAAUAUGUAGAAAUCGGUUACUACAAUUUUUUAGAAUUAUAGUAAUGUUUAGAUUUUGAUUUCUACAUGUUUUAGAUUUAUAGUAAAUCUGUAGAAGUCAGUUUCUACGUGUUUUAGAUUUAUAUUAAUGUGUAGAUUUUGAUUUCUAAAGAUUUUAGAACGAUAGGUUAAGCGUGGAAUGUGUAUUCUAAAUAUUUUUAGAAUACUCCUAUUUACGUAGAUCACGUAUUCUAAACAUUGUAGAUUCAAUGAAAAAAGUGGAUUUCGUUUUCUACUUCGUAAAAUGCCAUUUCUACUUUAUUUAGAACAUAAUUUGAAAUUUAUAAUUUUAACUUUUUUAUAACUGGAAAAAAUAUCACUAAGUUCAUAUAGGUAUUUUAUCAAAAGUUACUAUUUUUUCAAUUUUUUUUGUUUGUAAAACUAUUUAUUAAAUUUAUUUUCAAAAAUAUUAAAGGGUGUUAUAGGAAAAUAUGACACAAAAUAUAGAUUAGUC